rnacentral:lncRNA from 1 species
UCACAAAGGUGGAAAAGAGUCUGAAAUUUGAAAAAAAAACUAAACAAAAAGAUAAUGCCUAGAAAUCUGGCAACUCAUCUCCUUAAUUCUCUCUCUAACCCCCCACAAUAACUCCACUACUCGAAAUUUCAAUUUGAUUAGGACACCACCUCGCCACACGGCAAAUAAUUCCCUUGUUCACGCAGGGACUUGAACUCCAGACCUCCC